GUCUACAGCCAUGCUACCCUGAACAAGCCAGAUCCUGUCUGAUUUCAGAAGCUAAGCAGGAUCAGUUCUGGUUAGUACUUGGAUGGGAGACCACUUAGGAAGAUCAGGUGCUGUAGUCG
rnacentral:rRNA from 1 species